GCAUGGGUAGCUCAGACGGUAGAGCAUCAGACUUUUAAUCUGAGGGACCAGGGUUCAAGUCCCUGUUCAGGCG
rnacentral:tRNA from 1 species